UACGUAGGGACCAAGUGUUGUUCGGAUUUACUGGGCGUAAAGGGCGCGUAGGCGGCUUGUCAAGUCACUUGUGAAAUCUCUGGGCUUAACCCAGAACGGCCAAGUGAAACUGUCAUGCUAGAGUGCAGAAGGGGCAAUCGGGAAUUCUUGGUGUAGCGGUGAAAUGCGUAGAUAUCAAGAGGAACACCUGAGGUGAAGACGGGUUGCUGGGCUGACACUGACGCUGAGGCGCGAAAGCCAGGGGAGCAAACGGG
rnacentral:rRNA from 1 species